CCGAAUCCCUCUCCUCCUGAUCCCCUUCUCUUCUCCUCUUCUUCUAAUUCUCCCCUAACCUGACGCCGACCUCCACUUCGUCUUUCCCAACCAAUGGUGCCAUCUCGCGACGCUUCUUCUCCCUUCGUACAAAAGCCAUCGCCCAAGGAAGAGCCUCGAGUCCUCUCCCUUACCUCAUCCCUUUUCUCUCGCCGGCAACCCGAUUCCCUUCUUUACCCUGAUCUGCUUCAAUGCCAACAACUACGAGCCUUCCAAUUGUUGAUGUUGUCAGCCCUCGAUGCCACUGGCCAUGAGAGAUUUGUUGCUACCUUCCGCUCCCGAUGCUCUCGGUUUCUCCUUGCCUCAUACUGUCGCCCGUGCCCUAACUCUCUGAAUCGCCGCUCCGUACAAGUCAUCUUCGGCCAAGAGAGGGGGAUCUGAGCCCUAUCUUGGCUGGAGUAGGUUGUGAUCGGCUUCUAGAAGGUUACUUCAUCCUACUAGUCAGAUACCGAGUUAUCACCGUCGAGCCUCUCUUCGCCGAUUUCAACAAUCGCGUGACCUAAGCUCUAUCGGAGAGGGAACUGCUGAUUCUAAGAUUAGUGGCAUCUAUGUAGCGUCGACCACGAAUCUCUGGCAGCAAGUGCUUCCGACUGGAAUUUCCAGCAGCAACAUUUCCUGGUCGUGGGUCAACAGGGGCAACUUCGUAUUGAGGUAAGGUGUAGAGAAUUUGAUCCUUGCUAUAGCUUACACCUGGAAUUGAAGCUAGGAAAUAUUAGUUAUGAUUGAUCCAAGUAGAUGAUUCAUGCUUAGCCUAGUCUAAUUUGAUUAUGGAAUGGUUAAGAUUUGGCUAAACCUAAUUUAAUCAAAUGGGGUGGAUGAGUUAAUCGAUGAUCAGUUAAGGUUGAUUAAUAAUGAGGGUUUCUUGAUUGAAAUAGGAAUUUGAUUUAGUCAUUGGAUACUAAUGAGAGUGGAUUGAUUUUAUGCUUGUUGUUAUAGGACUUUGAGUUACGACGAGUGUCUCGACAUGAGAUCUAUCCGAUACGAUCUUUGUUUUGAGGCGGGUACUUUGACUUAUCUCUUUUGAUAUUGUCAUUUUGAUAUGCGUAGUUGGCUAUAUCUAGUAGUAAUAGUUAUGUUUAUAUCUAUUUGGUAUGUCAUUACUUGAUACCUGUAGUAUGUCCAUAUCUCUUGAUUCUUGUUAUGUUUACUUAUGUAGUGACAUAAAAUGCAUUACCGGAUACAGGUCUAGUUACUAGAUAUACUUGGCAUGUGUACCUAGUUUAUUACCUGGCAUAUGUACCUUGGUUUAUUACUUGGCAUGUGUACCUAGAUUUAUAGUACCUAGGUCAUUGUUAUGGACUUAGUUUUCCUUUUGGUACACAUUAUGUGGAGGUUGAUAUUUUUAGGAGUUACAUGCUUAGUGUCAUGCAUCAUAUUGCAUGAUUGCAUGUUGAGCGAUUGUCGGCUCCAUUGUUGUUGAGCAUAUCGCUAGUUACAUGAUCUGCACACACAACCACUCAUGGGUUAGUAGUAUAUUAGGUAGAGUGUGUGCAGUUUACUCUGUCAGGGCUCCAUUGGUCCGCUCAUGGGUAGCGAUGACUGUAGUGUGGUAGCGGAUAGAGAUCCCUCCUCUUGACUAUGACACAAGGAGAUGAGAGCUUAGGCUCCUCCACUAUGUUUGGGGUAGGAGGAUAAGUGUACUCCAACAACAUCCUAUCCACUCCAUCACUCAGGAGUAAUGAUGGCAGAGUCAGCAGUUGUCAUAGCUCUACCCACUCGACCUCACCAUUGCGUGUGAGGUGGUUGACUGGCGUCAAGGGUGACCAUGUCAUUUGCAUCAUAUGCAUGGAUUGCAUUUAUUGCUUGUGAUUGCUGUAUUUUGGAUGCUGCAUUUUAUGUGGUUGCAUAUGAUUGACAUAUAUACAGGAGACAUGAGGUAUUUGGUCUGACGACCCUUAUAUUUGGAUAAGAGGUCCUGGUGAGUACAGCUUCUCCCCUUGUUCAUUUCUCGCAUUUCCUGUUAUAGAUUAGGAGACUGUACUGCAUGAUUAUUAUUGAUAGAUAUAUCUUGCUAUACAUGUCUGCUCGAUACCCGCUGAGUUCUUGAACUCACUCCGUUGAUUAUUUUCUAUUUCAGGUUGAAGCCAUCAGGAGGUUCCAGUUGCUAGUCCUCACUUCGUGUCGUGAUGAUUUUUUUUCUAUGUUUGGUCUUUUGUUUCUUGUUAUGCAUGUGAUAUACAAACUUGUGAUGUGUGUUUCUGGCACUCGUAGAUCUUAUAUCGAGAUUUUGGUAUGCUGCUCA